GCGGGCGUAGAACAGCCUGGAGUGUUCGUCUCCCUGUCACGGAGAAGGUCGUGGGUUCAAAUCCCAUCGCCCGCG
rnacentral:tRNA from 3 species